CUGGAGCCCACUCCUUCAGCUUGCAGGGAGGUGUGGAGGGAGAGGCGCGAGCGGGAACCGGGGCUGCGUGCGGCACUUGCGGGCCAGCUGGAGUUCGGGGUGGGCGUGGGCUUGGCGGGCCCAGCACUCGCAGCAGCCGGCCAGCCCUGCUGGCCCCGGGCAGUGAGGGACUUAGCACCCGGGCCAGCGGCUGCGGAGGAUGUACUGGGUCCCCCAGCAGUGCCAGCCCACCGGCGCUGCGCUCGAUUUCUCACCGAGCCUUAGCUGCCUUCCCGCGGGGCAGGGCUCGGGACCUGCAGCCCGCCAUGCCUGAGCCUCCUACCCACUCCAAGGGCUCCUGUGCGGCCGGAGCCUCCCCGUACUAGCCCACCAGGAGGAACGAACAACUCCAGAGAUGCUGCCUUAAGAGCUGUAACACUCACGGCAAAGUUCUGCAGCUUCACUCCUGAGCCAGCGAGACCACGAACCCACCAGAAGGAAGAAACUCCGAACACAUCAGAAUAUCAGAAGGAACAAACUCCAGACGCGCCACCUUAAGAGCUGUAACACUCACCGCAAGGGUCCACGGCUUCAUUCUUGAAGUCAGUGAGACCAAGAACCCACCAAUUCCGGACACAGUGUCAGGCGCCUGUAGUCCCAGCUCCUCGGGAGGCUGAGGCAGGAGAAUGGCGUCAACCUGGGAGGCGGAGCUUGCAGUGAGCCGAGAUCACGCCACUGCACUCCAGCCUGGGCGACUGAGCAAGACUCCGUCUCAAAAGAACAGCAACAACAACAACAACAACAAACCAUAGUCCUUUGUCAGUCUUUAGUCUACUACUUCUGACCUAUUAACAGCUCCUGGCCUUCCAUUUCUAGUUAUCCCAGAAGGACAUACUGGAACACCUUGCAGGUUACACACUUUGAUGGCACUAACUGCAUGUUAGAAUUGUGUGGCAAAGAACUGAAGGCAUCAGUCCAAAAGCCCAAAGAACUAAAUACCGCCAACAACCCCAUGAACUUGGAAGUGGGUCCUUUCCCAGUGAGCUCUGGAGAUGACAAAAGACAGACAACACCUUGAUUGUAGUCUGUGAGAAAACCUGAAGCAGAAGACCCAGCUAACUUGUGCUCAGAUUCCUGACCAAUACAAAUUGUGAGACAAAUGUGUAAUUUUUUAAGCCAAGUUUUUGAUAAUGUAAUAUGAAGUGAUAGAUAACUAAUACAAAAUAGAGAACUGGAUACAUAUGUUCACGAGCUAUUCUGGCAUAAAAAUACAUUCAAUAAAAAACUUGUUGCUACUCUGUAUUUCCCUCAUCUCAUUGACAUCAUCCUAUCCUUUAUCUUUCAUAUAAAUAUCUGUGUAAAAUUUGUCAACAAAUGGUGUGAAAAUGAAGAGAAAGCAGAACAGUAGAAAUAAAAGAGGACUUGUUUA
rnacentral:lncRNA from 1 species